rnacentral:rRNA from 1 species
GAUGAACGCUAGCUACAGGCUUAACACAUGCAAGUCGAGGGGAAACGACAUUGGAAGCUUGCUUCCUUUGGGCGUCGACCGGCGCACGGGUGAGUAACGCGUAUCCAACCUUCCCGCAAGUAAGGGAUAACCCGUAGAAAUGCGGCCUAAUACCUUAUGUUUUCCUUAGAGGGCAUCUGAUGAGGAACAAAGAUCCGUCGCUUGCGGAUGGGGAUGCGUCUGAUUAGCUUGUUGGCGGGGCAACGGCCCACCAAGGCUACGAUCAGUAGGGGUUCUGAGAGGAAAGCCCCCCACAUUGGAACUGAGACACGGUCCAAACUCCUACGGGAGGCAGCAGUGAGGAAUAUUGGUCAAUGGGCGAGAGCCUGAACCAGCCAAGUAGCGUGCAGGAUGACGGCCCUAUGGGUUGUAAACUGCUUUUAUAAGGGAAUAAAGUAUGCCACGUGUGGUGUUUUGCAUGUACCCUGCGAAUAAGGAUCGGCUAAUUCCGUGCCAGCAGCCGCGG